GUCCCGGUAGGGUAGCGGACAUCCUAGAAGAUUGCGGAUCUUUUGACCCGGGUUCAAAUCCCGGCCGGGGCG
rnacentral:tRNA from 1 species